AUCAAUAAGCGGAGGAAAAGAAACCAACAGGGAUUGCCCUAGUAACGGCGAGUGAAGCGGCAACAGCUCAAAUUUGAAAGCUGGCUUAGGCCCGCAUUGUAAUUUGCAGAGGAUGCUUCUGGCGAGGUGCCUUCCGAGUUCCCUGGAACGGGACGCCAUAGAGGGUGAGAGCCCCGUAUGGAUGGACACCAGACCUGUGUGAAGCUCCUUCAACGAGUCGAGUAGUUUGGGAAUGCUGCUCUAAAUGGGAGGUAAAUCUCUUCUAAAGCUAAAUACCGGCCAGAGACCGAUAGCGCACAAGUAGAGUGAUCGAAAGAUGAAAAGCACCUUGAAAAGGGGGUUAAACAGUACGUGAAAUUGUUGAAAGGGAAGCGCUUGUGACCAGACUUGCGCCGGGCAGCUCAUCAGGGGUUCUCCCCUGUGCACUCUGCCCGGCUCAGGCCAGCAUCGGUUCUCGUGGGAGGAUAAGAACGGUAGGAACGUGGCCCCCCUCCGGGGGGGUGUUAUAGCCUGCCGUACGAUACUCCCGUGGGGACCGAGGUUCGCGCUCCGCAAGGAUGCUGGCGUAAUGGUCAUCAGCGACCCGUCUUGAAACACGGACCAAGGAGUCGUCCAUUAGAGCGAGCGUUUGGGUGUAAAACCCGCACGCGUAAUGAAAGUGAACGCAGGUGAGAGCUUCGGCGCAUCAUCGACCGAUCCUGAUGUCUUCGGAUGGAUUUGAGUAAGAGUUUUAACGGACGGACCCGAAAGACAGUGAACUAUGCUUGUAUAGGGUGAAGCCAGAGGAAACUCUGGUGGAGGCUCGCAGCGGUUCUGACGUGCAAAUCGAUCGUCAAAUAUGAGCAUGGGGCGAAAGACUAAUCGAACUGUCUAGUAGCUGGGUACCGCCGAAGUUUCCCUCAGGAUAGCAGUGUUGUUCUUCAGUUUUAUGAGGUAAAGCGAAUGAUUAGGGACUCGGGGGCGCUUAUUAGCCUUCAUCC
rnacentral:rRNA from 1 species